rnacentral:lncRNA from 1 species
AUCGUGCUUAGUGUGCUGAUUCCGUCGUGAGUGGCCUUGCCUUCACUGUGUCGUCUAGGUCGCUCUGAUACGUAACGGGAUGGGGCUUUAUGAUUAUGCAUGCUUCAUUCUCUUACGUGACUAUCAUGUUUAUGUUUUAUGAUGUUGAACAUUUAUUAUGUUUUGUUAAGUUGAUUUAACUCAUUUGAGAUAUUAUGAUGGGGCCUACGUGCCAAACUGAUUUAUGGAUUAUGAACUAAAUUCCGCUGCAAUGUUUACGAC